AUAAAGGUGUUUCCGCGAGCGCGCGUAAUUUAAAGGCGGGACUUCCGGCGUCCUCUACUAGCGGCCAUUUUGAUUGGUGUUGGGUGUCUUUUCCCGUGAGAGACCUCCGAGCGCUGGAUCUGGCCGAAGUGACUGAACCCAGAAGGUGGAGAGAAGACCUUAUCCCAACGGCACAACGGCUGCUCUGCAGUUCCUUAAAGGCCAGGCGUGACCCGCGCCAACGUCGGGAUCUGGACCACAGUCCCCGGGUACCUGCCCUGCUCGCCACCUCCUCCCGACCCCGCUUUCCCCAGCCAGUCUGAUGGCGGCGGCCGCGCUGAGGCUCCCGGCUCAGGGCACUGUGACCUUUGAAGAUGUGGCUGUGAAGUUUUCCCAGGAGGAAUGGAGUCUCCUUAGUGAGGCUCAGAGAUGCCUUUAUCAUGACGUGAUGCUGGAGAACCUGGCACUUAUAUCUUCUCUAGGUUGUUGGUAUGGAGCAAAAGACGAGACACCUUCUAAGCAGACCCUUUCUAUACAACAGCAGUCUCCCCUCAGGUCACAUUGGACAGGAGUAUGUACAAAGAAGGCCCACCCCUGGGGAGUGUGUGGCCCUCUCCUGGGAGAUAUCUUACACCAGAGAACACAACACAAUCAGAAAUUGAAUAGUUUUGGGGCAUGUGAAAAAAAAUUAGAUGACAGUGCAAACCAUUAUCAAGAUCAGAAGCAGCACAUUGGAGAGAAAUCAUACAGAAGCAAUGCCAAGGAAACAUCAUUUGUAAAGAACUGUAAAUUCCAUGUGUUACAUGAGCCAUUUGUCUUUCAUGAGGUUGGGAAAGACUUUUUGUCCAGCUUGAGAUUAUUCCAACAAGAGGACAUUCACACUUCAGGGAAGUCAAAUAUUGAAACUAAGCAUGGGACACCCUUUCAGGGUGGAAAAACUCAUUACAUCUGUGGAGAGGCCACAACACCCUUCAGCAACAAACACUCACUUGCCCUUCACCAGAGACUUCUCCCUAGAGAAGGACCUUUGUGCAGUGAUUCUGGGAAAUUCAUUAGCAAAAGUAAUAGUUUCAAUAAUCAUCAGGGAGUUCACACUGGGAAAAAACCUUAUCAGUGUGGACAGUGUGAUGAAUCAUUUUGGUAUAAGGCCCACCUCACAGAACACCAGAGAGUUCACACUGGAGAAAGACCUUAUGAGUGUAGAGAAUGUGAUAAAUCUUUUAGUCAUAAGCACAGUCUUGUUGACCAUCAGCGAGUUCACACUGGAGAAAGACCUUAUGAAUGUGAUGAAUGUGGGAAAUCUUUUAGCCAUAAGCGCAGCCUUGUUCACCACCAGCGAGUUCACACUGGAGAAAAACCUUAUCAGUGUGGAGAAUGUGGAAAAUCGUUUAAUCACAAGUGCAACCUCAUUCAACAUCAGCGAGUUCAUACUGGAGAAAGGCCUUAUGAGUGUAUGGCAUGUGGGAAAUUAUUUAGGAGCAACUCCCACCUAAAGGAACAUCAGAGAGUUCACACUGGAGAAAGACCCUAUGAGUGUAAAGAAUGUAGGAAGUCAUUUAGGUACAAGUCACACCUCACUGAACACCAGAGAGUUCACACUGGAGAAAGGCCAUAUGAGUGUAGAGAAUGUGGGAAAUGUUUUCAUCAAAAGGGCAGUCUCAUUCAACAUCAGCAGAUUCACUCUGGAGAAAGGCCACAUGAAUGUGGAGAAUGUGGGAAAUGUUUUCAUCAAAAGGGCAGCCUCAUUCGACAUCAGCAAAUUCACUCGGGAGAAAGGCCACAUGAAUGUGGAGAAUGUGGGAAGUGUUUUCGUCAAAAGGGAAACCUCAUUAAACAUCAACGAGUUCACACAGGAGAAAGACAUCAUGAAUGUUGAAAAUUUGGCAAAUCUACUGGUAAAAAGGGCACCCUCAUUCAACAUCAGUGAGAUCACACUGGAAAGAGCUUAUAAGUGUGGAGAAUGUGCAAAAUCUAGUCAAAAAGUUGGCCUUAUUCAACAAUAGCAAGAUCACAAUGGAAAAAGGCCUUGUGAGUAUAGAGAAUGUAUGAAAUCCAGUACAUAGAAGUUUUACCUCAGUAAAUAGCAAAGGAGUCACACUGGACAAAGACCUUAUAGUUAUGGGGAAUUUGGCAAAUUACUUAAGAAGUACCCCCUCACUGAACACGAGAGUUCACAGUUGAGAAAGGCCAUAUGACUGUAAGGAAUUUGUGAAAUUAGCCAGAAGAGCUGCAUUACUUACUAUUCAUAGAACAUUCACAAUGGAGAAAGGCCAUAUAAAUGUGAGAAAUCAUUUUCCUACAGCUCUGCAUACCAUGUUCAUAAGAGUUCACAUUGGACAAAGCCUUAUGAGAGCUUUGAGUAGAAAAUGCUUUGUGGGAAAACUCUGGUCUCUAAUGGAGAGUUCCUACUAGAGAAAGGCUUAACAGUGUAGCAAAUGUGGAAAGACAUUUACCAGAAGCUCUGCCCUGCGAGUUGACACUAGAGAAAGCCCUUCUCAGGGAAGUAAAUUUGGAAAAUUGAUUAGUCAAACCUGUAUGACUUCAAGAUCAGAGUUCACACUGGAUCAAGGGUUUAUGGUAUGACAAAUGUGGCACAUUAUUUAUCUAAAUGUCUAGCUUUAUUAUGCACAAACAAGCUCCUGCUGUGGAAGUGCCUUUUGAGUGCAAAGAGUUUGAUGAAGGCUUUACUUUUCUUUCACUGGAUGCCCUAGAAUGUUGACAGAAGAAAAAUACCAUAGAUGUACAGGAAUAUUUCUUGUCCAGUGUAACUCUGGGAGAGAGCACUUAUGAGGACACCAUCAACCUAUACUGAAUGUCAUACGUCCAGUAGCUGCAUAAAUUCCAGGGACAUGAUGUCACUCUGAAACUCAGGCUGGAAUGCACUGGCAUGGUCAUACCUCACUGCGGCCUCAAACUCCUGGGCUCAAGUGAUCCUCCUGCCUCAGCCUCCCGAGUACCUGAGAUUAGCCCAGGUAAUUUAAGAAUUUUUUGUAGAGAUAGAGUUUUGCUAUUUUACACUGACUGAUGUUGAACUCCUGGCCUCAAGCAAUCCUCUAGCAUAUGCCCUCGAAAGCACUAGGCUUAUAGGUGUGAGCCACCAUGCCCACCCACAAAUAAUUUUUAUAGAAUUAGCAUUUCUAGGUAGUCAAGCCGACUGUGACAGAAUAGUUGGAAUAUACUUUUUUAAAAAAGGCAUCCACAGUGAUGCAGUUACUAUGUCUGUGAUGGACAAACAGGUACAGAAAUUUUCACAACCUCUGUAAUUAGGAAUCUAGUGUAGCUUAGGUCAUUGUCAGAGUAAAUCUAAAGGUUUUGUGGAUUUCUAUAGCCUAUCUGGGCUGCUUACCAAAAAGCCAUCCCUGAAUUAUUAGGAGGAAGAGGAUAGGGAGAAGGGAAAUCUCUUAGUCUACUGAUAGGUCCUUUGCAACCAGCCAGCAUUCCAAUUUAAUCAGGUGGUAAUGGUCUUCCUGGUUCAUAAGUAUUUGGUGUCACACAGUCUAGUUGCCCCCCUUAGAGUGUGAUGAGAGUUAGUAGAGUCAAUGUAGAAUUGCAUAACCUAUUUGUCAAAAAUACUGUUAAAUCCAGAAAAUCCUUUCAAAUUAAAUUUUUAAAACUGUAAUAAGACUGGGCAUAGUGACUCAUGCCUGUUAUCCCAACAUUUUGGGAGCCCAAGGUGGGAGUAUUGCUUGAGGUAAGGAGUUUGAGACUAGCCUGGGUCCCAUAGUAAGACCCUGUUUCUUAAAAACAAAAAAUACUGUCUUUCUCUCUGGCCUCUCCAUCCUCCAAACAAUCACUGAAUUGUAAUAUUUGCUUAACAGAUUAGUGUCAAUUUUCUGGAAUUUUAUAUGACUAACAUGUUUCAUCUUUUCAUACCUGAGUACUCUCCUGAGUCCUAUUUAUUUUGAUUUUUUUUUUUUUUAAUUAUUUCACAUAACAGGGAUAUAUAUUUUGACAUUCGUCAAUCAUGAUAUAUAAGUAGUUCAUUCUUUUUAUCUUAGAAUAUGACAUGCUUUAAAAAUCACUGUAUAUACUGCUUAUGGAUAUAUUAUUUCUUCUUGUUUUUGUCUGUUAGAAAUAAAACUGCUUGUUACACACAUUUGAAUGCAGUUCUUCAUAUAAAUAAUGUUUUAUUUCUCUUGUGUUAA